ensembl:lncRNA
GUUUAACUGUUUACUGCGGUUAUGCGAGUAGUUUGUCCAAGAGGUGUUGCCGUACCCUAGCAGAAGCCGUUGAUCGACUGCUGUUGGUAGGCACAGAGUAAAGAGAGAGAGGGACAGAGGGCAUGAGGAUGCCAACAGAGCAGGGAGAACAGGUGACAUGGAGCUCGAAGAGGCUGAGGGGGAGUGUUUGACGAGGAGCAUCAGUCUGGGCCAAUUGCAGCGUUUACAUCAACGAAGCAAGCCGCCUUCACCGACUGGGUCUAAAUCGAGAGGACACAGGUUGUGGAUCCUGAAGGGCACCUCUGAAUUGCUGCUUGGCCUGGGAAAGGCAGCGGAAGGUGGGGGUUGGAGUGGCUGGGACCCUCUUCACUGCUUAUGGUCUGAGGACAGAGUGGGCCAAGCAGCCCUAACUGGCAGACUGGUCUCAAGACCUAAGGUCAGCACAGACCUUGUGUUCCAACCAAAAAACAUGGUCAGGAUUUGGCUGCUGAGGUCAUUCAUAAUAUUGUAAAAAAAAACUGUUUUAAUAAAAUGUUCUGUCUGCCAGCAAGAGGGGAGUGAACCCUUUUAACAUUAAAGGUUACACAGGUUGUGAGCUAG